rnacentral:misc_RNA from 1 species
ACACCUGUUCUACAGUUGCUCUGUCUGCCUUAUCUUUGAUGCGAUACAUAUCUGCUUCCUUUUGUCUAGACUUUUCGGUGACUUUAUUUAUGACGGAAUCAGUAACAUUUAGCUUAUCUAAAUUAAUUUUAUUCUCAAAUUUCCGUAAGACCUUGUCUGCUGGAGUAGACAUUUUGGCUGAACUGCUGUCGGAGGUCUGUCGAUUUGCCCGUGGG